UCUGGUGACCACAGCGUAAUGGAACCACCCGGUCCCAUUCCGAACCCGGAAGUGAAACGUUACUGCGCCGAUGGUAGUUGGGCGAAAGGCCCUGCGAGAGUAGGUCGUUGCCAGUU
rnacentral:rRNA from 3 species